ACUAGCCACUCGGCCGGCCCUUUUGUCCACUUCUUUAUUGGUGUAUUUACCUUAUUAAUUCACAGAAGUUCUUUAUAUAUAUUCUAGAUAUAAUUCAGAGUGUGAGUUGCAAAUUUCUUCUUCCAGUUUGUGGCUUGCCCUUUCAUUCCCUUUAUAGUAUCUUUUGAUUAACAGAGGGUCUUAAUUUUAAUGUAGUCGAAUUUAUCAAUCUUUUUCUUUAUGGCUGUAUUUUCUAAUCUUUAUCUCAAGUUUAAAAGAUAUUCUCCAAAUAUGUAUGAUGUGAGAUAGGGAUGGAUCCAAUUUUAUUAAUUUUUUUUUUCAUUUGUGUUUAAACAUGCAGAACCGCCAGUUAUUAAAACAUUUUCUGGCUUUUCCCUCUGAGCUUAACACCAGCUGGGUCACAAGUCAGGUGUUGCUAGAUGAGCGCCUCAGUGUCUGAGCUGUCUCUUUCGGACCGCUGGUCAGUUUUUCUGUCCCAGGACCCACACUGCACUGUCUUCAUUACUGUAGCUUUAUAAAAAUAUUUGGAAGAGCAAAACCCCAUGAUUUUUUUAAACAGUGUUUUGGCUAUUCUUAACUCCUUGUACUUCUAUAAAAUUGUUACUUUCAGAUGGUCUAAUAUAUAUUUUAAGCUAGAUUCACAAUUUUCAAAAGGUGAAAUUUCCCCAUCCUGCCUGUCUUCUCCCAAUUUCCUCGCCAGAUGCAACCACACUUACCAGUUUCUUGUGUAUGUUUCCAGAGAUAAUCUGAAAUUGCAUAAAUCUGUGUGUAUAUACCACCUCUUUUUGUACUCGCAUAGUUUGUCAGUUUAUUUAACACGUAAACUGUUAUUCACUAAAAUCUUUCCUAACAUGUCAUGAUUUAUAAAUGUCAAAGAGAUAUAAAAGUUAAACUUUGUACAUUUUAGUCCUGAAUCAAGGCAUUUUGAGUAGUUUCCAAACUUACAAACUAUAUUUUAUAACUGCUACUAAUUUUGAUGGAAAAAAAAACAAUUUCAACUUCCCCAACGGCUUCCUACCUGACCGCUGGGCAUGUGUGUCUCUUCCUGCUGCAGGGAAUCACAUGAGAAGCACAGACUGCUUUUCCAAACGGGGACAUCUGGGUCACACUGCAAUCACAACAGAAUAACACAGUAUAUUCUGAUAAUGUUAUUGGUUGUAUUUGGGGUUGGCGCUGCCAUCUUCUUGCGUCCUUUCCUUUUGUUCUGUUUCAGUUUCUUUUUUUUUCUUUCUGUUGAUUUGUUAGUCUCACCUCUGGUUCUGUCUUUUCGUGGUUACCCUAUGACAGUCACACCUGCCAGCGUGUCUCCCGCUGAAGCCAACCGGCACCUUCCCUGUGUUCCUGCGUGCCACAGGCCCCCAGGUUUAGAAUUCUAGAUUGCCAGUGAUGUCUUUCUGUAUGUGAAGCUGUUUUCCCCCUGUUUUCUGGCCUCCACUUACUGUGGUGAAGUCACCAGCGGCCUCUCACUCUUUUAAAGGCAUUUUCCUCUCGUUUGAUGGCCACAACUCCCCGCAGCGGUGAUAGGAGUGGGCAGGAGUAGACGGUGAGUGUAAAUCUGGUGUUUCAGUACUGCUGGAUUGUGUGUCAUCAGGUUAUAAAACGGGAGUUAAGGAUAUUCAGUUUUGUUUUUUCUGUAUCUGUAGAGUCAAGGGGUUUAGGUUUGUUAGGUUUACAGAAUCAACUUAUACAAUCAUCCAGCUAUCCUUGCACCACUGAUUGUUUUAAAUGAUAAAAGAAUCAGCUUAGGGAAUUUGGAAAAGAGAAACACCCCACUCAAACCCACCCCUGGCAGAUAAGCACUAACCAUAAAAUGAAUGAAUCCCAGGACCUGCUUCAGUUUUUCUCUGUAUCUAUAACUGUGGAAUUGUACGUUCUGUAUCUGAACAGUUUUAGAAGCAUCUCUCCAUUGCUACAUCUCCAAGCUGCUGACUUUUUAUCAUGCUAAUUAUCUCUGAAAACUACACUGACGACACUCAGCUUUCCCUAUACUUGAGGGGAGACAGUGGAGCCAGGACAGAAAUUUUUAUAAAUCUUGUGUCACAUGAGCAGACCUUUUACCACUCUGCUUUCCUACCCAGAAAGUCCAAGAACUUCCCGUUCCUUUCAUUCACACGAGGGCAAACUGCUCGGGGUGCAGGGCUGGUGGCCCUCUGUGCACAUCAUCCGUCCCUCCCAUAGGAGAACAGUCAACAGCAAGCACACUGUGAACUUAUCGUAGAAUAGAUUUAUUUACCUGAAACCAUUGUCUGUGCAAUGCUUGUUACCAGCACAGAAAUAAAACAACUGAUCUCUAUUUACAGUCUAAAGUCAAACAUGCGUUGUGAUAAAUUGACGUUUAGCAUUUUAUUAAGAUAAAUGCAUCACAAUAUUGUAUUGCACCAAUAUCUGUCUACUGCUUCUGAUUUCAUUAAAUAAGUUACAUUUAAUACAGUGCAAAAUAGCUGUUUGCACACUCAAAAAAUAACUGAAGUUAUGAACUGGAGGCCUACAUUUUAACCAUUUAUAACACCUGUAGUGUUUUCAAUAAAUUUAUAAAUAAGCAAAACUGUACAGGGCCAAUUAAAAAGUAGCAUGUUUCAACGACACCGUAGAGAAAUCUGGCUACUUACAACUGAAGGCAUGCAUUACAACUGAGUAUUGGCUAUUGUACAUUUAUAUAAGCUCUGACAUUUUACACAGAGAAAUAUGGAGACUUGGCUGAUGGCUUCUAAGUUCUUGGAUAAGGUUUCAGAACCUCAUUCUUGCAGCAAAGAAACCAAAAUUCUCUGUAGAGGCUUUCUGAUUCAUUAAGCUAAUUGUACAUUUGUAAUUAUUUUGAUUUAAAAGCUAAAAACUCCA